GAAGUGGCGUCUCAUUGCAGCCUCGGUGUCUAGUCCAUCUGAACUGGAACAUCUGCUCUGGCCAUGCCUUGACAAAGUGGGGACCUGACCACCAAGAACAAAUGACCCCAUGAUGAACGAGGUGGCCCAGGAUUGAUACGCUGCACACACAUACACACUGUAUCUGUGCAUUGUGAUACAUCAGGAGUGUGUUUCUCUGGCCUCUCUCCACCUUGACCAUCCCAAGCGACAUUUCUCCACCUUGCAGUCCACAUUCCAGCCCGUCAGAACCACCACCAAUUCCGUCAUCCACCACUGAAGUGUGAAGAUGCCUACUCUGUGCUUGACUCCUCAUUGCCCCUGCCAGCCUGCAAAGCUCCUGCUUCUCCUUUAAGGAACACCUGCUCUGGCCAUGCCUCAGUAAAGUGGGGACCUGAGCACGAAGAAGGGAGGAUGGGGGAGGACAGCGUUUAUCCAUUAGCUGUGGCCCAGUCCCAUGGGGAUGAAGUGCUGGCAGGGUUGCAGUAGGAACCCUGAUCUCACCUUGGUCUUUGAGCUCUUGUCGGUGAAAGAGGUCAGCAUGUACCCGAUGAAUCCAGGCAGGUGUUCAGGAGUGGCCAGGUACACUCAGCCUGAAAUGAUGGGUAUGUUUUAGCAGAAACCAAAAGGCAUCGCUGUUGAGAAAUGCCUGAGGAAGGUGGGAGAGGCAUGGGGCGAGCUGCAGGUGGUUGGAGGCUCUUGGGGAGAAGGUGUGGGCUGGUCAGGUUCGGGAGGGCAGGGCACGAGGUUGGAGGACACACGCCAUUGAUCUCCCAGAUGUGUGUUCUGAGCUCAGGCCCCACGCAUGUGGCCUCCCAGUUGACUCUUCCCUAUUUCAACAUGAAUAUUUCAAUGAAGCAGAAACUUUCAUUUUUCUUUUUAAAAUCAAA